GGCAGUGUAGCAUAGUGGUAAUGAGCUGGGCCUGUAACAAAAAGGUUGCUGGUUCGAUUCCCUGCUGGGUCACUGCUG
rnacentral:tRNA from 1 species